CUGUUUCCAAUUCUGUGUCUCCCUCUCUCUCUGCCCCUCCCCCGUUCAUGCUCUGUCUCUCUCUGUCCCAAAAAUAAAUAAACGUUGAAAAAAAAAAAUUUUAAGGUUGGAGGCUAACAUUCUCACGUUGGGAUGAAAAAAGUUUGUCUUCUAGGAAUUGCCAUUAAUCCACAUCCUCCAGCCACUAAGUGUAAAGCUGAGAUGGUACCCGUAUGUUUGAUUCCAAAGACCUUGUCCUCCAUGGCCCCCGGCCUAGGGUUCACGAAAGGCAACCUGUGAGCAGCAGGAAGUCAUCCAAGGCCUUCGAGUAGUCAGUCAGUCAGCAGCAGUUUGAGCUUUCCUUGUGUGGAAUUCCAAAUAGCACCUGGGAGUGUGAGUGGCUCAAAUCGAGACUAAAGGAUGGUUUUGUUUGUUCCAUUAUUUGCAGGGACCUAUUUAUGUACCUUAAUAAUUGGAGGAGAGAAAUGUAAGUUGAUAGGAUUUGAUUUUUGUUUCAUCUCUGGUGGUGACAUAAGUAUUUGAAGUGAUUGGAUUUUCUAAGAAGGGUGCUUCCAGAUGGGAGAGAAAUGAGAAGAUAUUUUAUUGUGUUUCUCCAUUUUGGACAAUAUUUUAAAUAGGAAUCUCAUUGAAAUAAGGUUUUCUUAGGUUUAACAUGCUGCUAAAACUUGAUUUCUUCAGGCACAACGGGAAAGCUAAAAUGUUAGUUACACCCACCUGUCAGAUCAUGUGUGCUGCUAAUACACUGGGAUUAUUUGAGGUCACUGGUUUGGUAACAGCCUUAGAACAUGUUUUGUCUCCUUUUAGUUAGUUUACAGUGAAUAAUUGAGAAGAUCAAUACUUUUAAGAAAGAAAACAGAGAACUUCAUUGCUGAAAAAAUAUCCAUUUGGGAACAGAAGAAAAUAAAAAGGCCCUGGAAGACAAGUGUAAUGCAUUGAGGUCUGUGAAAGCAACCAAAGAAGCAAAAGUCAAACAGCUGAAGGACAAAGCAGGCAUCCUUGAAGAAUUCUAUGAAGAAAGAAAAGUGGCUAUAGAAGACUAAAAUGUUCAGGUGAGAACUAUCACAAGUACUGUUGUAUGAAUGAAUGUGACGGCCAGUAGAGAUAACUAAAAUUCUUUUCAAAUUUUUUGCCAAAUGCACUCAGAAUUGUGCCUGUCCUUCUUACCUGGCUUUCUGUCACCCGCAUUUUCCUUUCUGUCCUAAGUGCUUGUCACAUAUUGUGUCAUGUAUUUGGGGUGGAAGAGGGAAGGUGUCAGCAUUAAUAACAUUGAUAUCUGCAUCUGCUUGGGAUUCAGUCCCAUCACGUUGUCUUGUCAUCCAGGAAUUAGGUCAUUUUUGUUCAGGACCACACAUGGGUCAAGAAUGUGUAGGGGAAAAAUCAAUGAUCUUGCUGCAGAAACCACAGAAAUUUAUUUCUGGAAAGAGGGUAGGGGUGCCAGUAGUACUGGAUCCCUGCAUCAGUUCUGCUAGUGAGAUUGUUCACAGCAGGCCAAUCCCUAAGGAAGCUGAGUUAUUUCCUCUCCCCUGAUUUUUGAAGUGUAACUGCUCUGAGUCUUCACCAAAGCCCGCAGCUUCACUAGGGCUCAUCUUUGCUGGCUGCCUCUGAACUAAACACGUUUCCUUCUAAGUCUGUGCCCAUAAAGUUGUUCAGCUAUUUUGCAGUUCAGUUUUCUAUCCCCAAGUUCAUUGAUGAGUCCUGGGGAGAUUGGUUCCCACUGCCAGGCUGGCUUUGUCCUGGGCUUCCUUCUUCUCCAUCUUGGUCACAUGUGUCUUCAUGGGGUCAUUAGAAAUGUGGUGCAUUCGCUCACAUGUUUCCUCCUUUGUACAGUAUUUCCUUUUGUUCUCAGGAGGAGAUCAGGGCCAUUAGAGUCCCUCAUUCACAUUGAAAAGGAAAUACUUCCUUCUCUUCCCUGGAGACUCAGCUUCUGUUAGUCCUUCCCACACCUGGGGUGGAGCCUGCUCUGUCUCACUGGCAUCUUGUUUUUAUCAUUUCUAAGCUCUUUUGGAGAGCACGUACAGCACCCUGGCCACCUUUCUAUUUUCAAUCCCUUACAACAGAACCACUACAUUCCAGCCACUCCAGAAAGCAUUUGUUGAAGGACUGCCUGAGAUGCUGGAAGGAAAUGCAUGUGCCUUUCUCUGUCUAGAGGUUUUGUGUCCGUUUCUAGGAGUCUUUCAAUUUUGCAUGUGACUCUUGAAUACAUCCAGUACCAAGUUAAAACCCUUUAAAGCAACACCAUGAACAAAAUAGUCUGAGGGCAACACAGCAAACCAGCCUUUCUAAGCAUUUCCCUUUGCUGCCUUCACUGUCAAUGAACUGAGUCUUCUUCAAGUACAUUGGCUCCAUGAAGUUGAUAGUUUUCCAUCUGAAAUCUGUUUCCUGGAGAUAAACCCAGACUGUGUGACAGUUCAUAUCAGGUUCUACCUCAGGUGAUGUUGCUGCUCUAAGAUUGGCCUUUUCCUCCACCAGGAUAUGUGAAGGUGGACGCAGGGGUUGUACUCCUGACUCUAGCAAUGUCUGGGAGUGAGCUGCAAUGUUGGGGAAGCCAUAUCCUGGAAGGUCGUCUUUUAGGGUGAUUGUCUUUGUCAGGGUACAACUUCUGGACUGAGAAUCAGGGCUCCCCACGGAGGUGUGAGACUAGUGAUGAUCCCUUGCUUCAUCCUAAUGGGUAUGGGUGGUCAGACAAGGUUUUUGACACUGAACUGAAAUGAGCCGUCACCAUCUGAAACCAAAGUCCAGCUCUGGGAAGGCACAAAGUGCAAUAUUAUUUGAUGACUUUAUGAUGAAGGAGAGGAAACAGGUCUGACAGCAGAGACAUGGCAGCAGACAGAGGUUGAAUUUUCUUUAACUUAAAUGGGGUGUUCAGUUCAUUUCUCUGACUGUGUUGUCAGUCUGUGCAUUUAUGGGAGAGGUGGGGGAAAGGUAUUUGUAUCUAGGCCUUCAAGAGUGCUGGGAGGUAAAAAGGCAGAAUUUGUGGACCUUGGCUCCUGGACUGUGUAUAUGUCUUUCCCAUCUUAGGAAGCUGAAAAUGACACAGUGUGAACUGGCGGCAAAGAAGAAUCAGCUGGCAGCUGCAGGGAAAAUGUGAAAAUAGCCAUGAAAGAAAUAAACAAGUACAAAUCGCAGUUCAUGAGAAUAAUGCUCAGGACAACUGGGUAAGUGUUUCCUUUUUUCCUCCUCUCCCUCUUCGGUGCACAGUCUGGCACGACUGAAGGUGGAUGUGUUUUUCUCCCCCAGGUCAAGCCUCAGAUCUGGGAGAGGGAAAUGGCAGAGCAGAGCCGAGAGGUCGCCCACUUGAAACACAGGUCUGGGAGCGUGACAUGAGUUUUUAUGGGUGUUUUGAGGGAUGACAGCUGUGCUGUUUAGUGUCUAGUCAGAGGAUGUGGCAUUGCAACUCUUAUAGAAGUCCAUUCUUUUUCUGUAUCCAAGACUGGAUGUGAUGGAAGGAAAGAGGCUGCUUGAGGGAUACAGGAGGCAGAGAACAAUGCCUGGAAGUCCAGAGACGCAGAACCCUCUGAGGAGAGGGUCCUUAGCAGAUCCAGAAACUGGUGCAACCUCUGUGAGUUACAGCAGCUCUGACUGUACGAAGAAUGCAGACAAGGACAAG